AAAGCGAUCAAAUUAAUAAAAAUAACUGCAUAACAAAUGGAAUUUAAGCAUUUUUGGAUUAACUGGAAUAAUGAUGUAGAUGUGGCAGCAAACGUUGUGUCAGUGGAGUUUACGAAGUAUUGGACAUACAUAUGUACAUAUAUGUGGAAUUCCAGCCAGUGUUUUCUUUUGGAGCACCAUCAACACACAGGCAGGAUGAAGAAUUUUUUCAAGGAGCAGGUGCGUCUACUUCUGGAUUGUUGGCUGUUGGAAACUGACCUCAGCAGCUUAUCAGUUUUCUAUAAGGAGAGUGGAAAUAAUCAAAGUAAAUAUAUUGGAAAAUACACUGAAGUGAAAACAACUUCGUUAUAUUAGCAGAAAAUCUAUAGAAGGUUAGGCAGCGUCUACUUACAAUAUUAUGCACCUGCAGAGAGUAUUAUAAUUUUGUCACUACAUAUGUAACGUUAUGUAUAUAAAUCCUUGAUCUGGUCGUGUGCCUCUGUCAAGGAAAGGAUAUGUCGCUAUAUCAAAAAGCUGCCGUAGGUAUGACGGGUUAAAAAUCAAACUUUAAUCUAAAAAGUAGCAUUAUUUUUUAAAACAUAUCACCCAUUCUCACAGUUCAGGCAAUUAAUGUUGUUAUUGAUGAUUAAAAUAAGACUGUCAAUAGACUCUUCAAUCAAACAGUCAAGAAUAAAUUAAGCAGCUUUUGAAGUUGAA